UACAGAGGGGGCAAGCGUUAUUCGGAAUUAUUGGGCGUAAAGAGCGUGUAGGCGGCCCGGUAAGUCCGCUGUGAAAGUCGGGGGCUCAACCCUCGAAUGCCGGUGGAUACUGUCGGGCUAGAGUGCGGAAGAGGCGAGUGGAAUUCCUGGUGUAGCGGUGAAAUGCGCAGAUAUCAGGAGGAACACCGAUUGCGAAGGCAGCUCGCUGGGACGUUACUGACGCUGAGACGCGAAAGCGUGGGGAGCAAACAGG
rnacentral:rRNA from 1 species